rnacentral:tRNA from 1 species
GGUUCCUUAGUCAAGUUGGUUAAGGCAGCGGUUUGCAAAACCGUCAUCAACAGUUCGAAUCUGUUAGGAACCUCCA